rnacentral:rRNA from 1 species
UGGGGAAUAUUGCACAAUGGGCGCAAGCCUGAUGCAGCCAUGCCGCGUGUGUGAAGAAGGCCUUCGGGUUGUAAAGCACUUUCAGCUGGGAGGAAGGCGAUAAGGUUAAUAACCUCAUCGAUUGACGUUACCCGCAGAAGAAGCACCGGCUAACUCCGUGCCAGCAGCCGCGGUAAUACGGAGGGUGCAAGCGUUAAUCGGAAUUACUGGGCGUAAAGCGCACGCAGGCGGUCUGUCAAGUCGGAUGUGAAAUCCCCGGGCUCAACCUGGGAACUGCAUUCGAAACUGGCAGGCUAGAGUCUUGUAGAGGGGGGUAGAAUUCCAGGUGUAGCGGUGAAAUGCGUAGAGAUCUGGAGGAAUACCGGUGGCGAAGGCGGCCCCCUGGACAAAGACUGACGCUCAGGUGCGAAAGCGUGGGGAGCAAACAGG